AGUGAACGCUGGCGGUAGGCCUAACACAUGCAAGUCGAACGGCAGCACAGUAAGAGCUUGCUCGUACAGGGGGCGAGUGGCGGGCGGGGGCGGGAUACAUCCGAAUCUGCUGUUUCGAGGGUGCUGACGUAGGGACACUUACGCUAAUACCGCAUACGACCUACGGGUGAGAGCAGGGGAUCUUCGGACCUUGCGCGAUUGAAGGAGCCGGUGUCGGGUUGGCUAGUUGGCGGGGUAAAGGCCCACCGAGGCGACGAUCCGUAGCUGGUCUGAGAGGAUGAUGAGUGACAGUGGAACUGAGAAACGGUCCAGAAGCCUACGGGAGGCAGCAGUGGGGAAGAUUGGACAAUGGGCGAAAGCCUGAUCCAGCCAUGCCGCGUGUGUGAAGAAGGUCUUCGGAUUGUAAAGCACUUUAAGUUGGGAGGAAGGGCAGUAAGUUAAUACCUUGCUGUUUGGACGUUACCAACAGAAUAAGCACCGGCUAACUUCGU
rnacentral:rRNA from 1 species